rnacentral:misc_RNA from 1 species
GCCUACCUCAUUUCUUUCUGAAAAGAAAAACAUAUUUUAAUAGAUAUGCAUAUUUCAAAGAAAAACCAGAAAAUGGUAUUCUUUGAAUCACCAUUUUGAGUUAUAUAUGAUCAAGUAUUGAGUAAACACCCAAUAUGUGGAAGUUUUACUGCAUUGAGAGUCUAAGCUAUGCAAUGAAUCAUUUACCUUGAACGUGCAGCAGACAAAUGUAAACAAAUGUGAAGUUUUAAAACGUAAGCAUUUAAUUAGAUUGUGAAAAUUCAUGAAGCUUUUCAAAUUAAAUUGUCUAUAAGUAAAGCAGGAGCCGAGAAACAUCAUUUGAAAUAAACAUCCAAUCUUAAGCAAUAGUCACUCAAGAUAAUUAACAUGUUUCAAAAGGAACUCCAUGCUUCUUUCCAUGCCAAGUUAGGCACCACAGGCAGGGAAAUCAUGCAUAUAAUACAGUAGAGGUAAUUCUUUUCAAGUUAAUACACUAACUUUGCCCAACAGGAUAUCCACAGACAAUUCUUUCCAAGAAUAAAA